rnacentral:rRNA from 1 species
UACGUAGGGUGCAAGCGUUGUCCGGAAUUAUUGGGCGUAAAGAGCUCGUAGGCGGUUUGUCGCGUCGAAUGUGAAAACCCGGGGCUCAACCCCGGGCCUGCAUUCGAUACGGGCAGACUAGAGUUCGGUAGGGGAGUCUGGAAUUCAUGGUGUAGCAGUGAAAUGCGUAGAGAUCAUGAGGAAGACCAGUGGCGAAGGCGGGUCUCUGGACAGUUCCUGACACUGAGACACGAAGGCCAGGGGAGCAAUCGGG